UUCUCGAGCGAUGGAUUUUUGCAAGGGUAAGCCCCAUUUAGGGGAGGAACCUGAACAGCUCAUGGCUAUUGAGAAGGACUGGGGAAGUGGUAUGAUGAUGAUAAUAACUGCGAAUUCGAAAUACAUGACAGCCCAUGGUUGGAGCGAUGUUUAGAUGAUGCUACGGGAGGGAAGACCAAUCUGAAAUGGUUUGUCCCUCUCUGCGAAAAAUCACCUGCAAUAAAAUGGUUAUAUGAUCGUGGGGACGAGGUAAUUGGUGUGGAACUGGUCGGAAAAGCCAUCGAGAAAUUCUUCAAUUCGCGUGGUAUGAACUACACGAAAUCAGAUAUACCACAGCUAAAGUAUGGAUGCUUGUAUCAGAAUGAUGAUAAACGUAUCAAGAUCUUCAAGUGCAACAUAUUUGACGUCACACGAGAUCUAAUCGGAGGACCAGUAGAUGCUAUAUGGGAGAGAGGUUCUAUGCAAGAUAUCGACCAUCAUGAACGACCAAGGUAGGGGUACAACUUCGUUGGGAAUAUGAGUGUUUAUACUUUAUACUUUUAUUUAUUUUAAUACUAAAAAUAUAUUAUAAUAC